rnacentral:rRNA from 1 species
UACGUAGGGUGCAAGCGUUAAUCGGAAUUACUGGGCGUAAAGCGUGCGCAGGCGGCUUUGCAAGACAGAUGUGAAAUCCCCGGGCUCAACCUGGGAACUGCAUUUGUGACUGCAUGGCUAGAGUACGGUAGAGGGGGAUGGAAUUCCGCGUGUAGCAGUGAAAUGCGUAGAUAUGCGGAGGAACACCGAUGGCGAAGGCAGCCCCCUGGGCCGGAACUGACGCUGAGGCGCGAAAGCGUGGGUAGCAAACGGG